GGCAGAGAAAACAAGCUGCAGAAAGCACCAGAAGGGCUUAAAGUGCUUUAGGAUUUUUUAUUUUUUAAUUUUUUUUUUAAUUGCCUCACAAGAACUUUCAUCUGCUUUCAUGCCAGGAAAACCUUUGUGAUGUAGAUGACUGACACCCAAAGACCAGAAAGCAAAGUUUCCACGCUGGAGUUGCCACAAAACCAAAGUCAUCAAAACAAACGAAAGCAAAAACCCAAACCUGGUGACUCUGAAAAAAUGAGGUAAAAAAAUACUAUUUAUUUUGAAAUUUAUGAUUACUUUGAGUUAUUUUAUGCAGCACUUAGAAAGGACUUAAUGUCCCUUGGACUUGCUGCUUUUUCUGUGUUUUUUUACAUACUGGUAGCUGGGUGAAGUUCCCAAAAUUCCAGUUUUCACAAAGAACCAGAGUUAUAACUUGAAAAUU
rnacentral:lncRNA from 1 species